AGCGAGAUAACCUGACCCCAAAAUCCUUCCCUCUUCUCCUCUGCAAACUGACCCCUGACUUUGUGCUGGGCAACCCCAGGUGAUAACUAAUGACCAGAUUAAUUAGUCCUGAGAACGCUGAUGCAGCCACGUGCCUCUUCUCCCCAGUGAUGGCGAGAAUCCGCUGGGGAUUCUGGGAAAGUUUUCUUUUUCCUGAUAAAAGGAGCAGGAGAGGCUAGUGCCACCUCUCUCCCAUGCUUCCUGUCUUGAGAUUCCCGGACAUCCCAGGUGAUCCUAGGACCAGGAGGCAGAAGCCAAAGAUGCCCCUCUCUGCAGGUGAGGACACGGUGGCCCAGCCUUGACUUGUCCGUCUUAGCGCCCUGAAGGGAAGCUCCGGGUACUGCAGUUUCCCACGGGACUCCCAGCACUGCCCGCAGUGUCCGGCUCCAGGAGGCACUCGGUGCGUCCUCUGUCCACAGAGUGAAGUGUGGUGGAGGUGGAAUGCGGCAUGGACUCUCUAACACCGGCACCCCUGCCGUUCGCCAUUUGCUGUAGCUUUCUCCCAGAACUGCCUCAGGCUUCCUGUUGCAGCAUCAAACAGGGAUGGAAGAUGCAGCUCGCAUUAGCAGUGGGAGCCUCUAAAGCAGCUUAAGUCCCUGGAGGUGCCUGGCACACAGAAACCUGCUCUGAGCCGGGAGCACAACGAGGGGCCAGGGAGGGGCUCGCAGCGG
rnacentral:lncRNA from 1 species